rnacentral:rRNA from 1 species
CAGCAGCCGCGGUAAUACGUAGGGUGCGAGCGUUAAUCGGAUUUACUGGGCGUAAAGCGUGCGCAGGCGGCCCGUUAAGACAGGUGUGAAAUCCCUGGGCUCAACCUAGGAAUUGCGCUUGUGACUGGCGGGCUCGAGUACGGUAGAGGGGGGUGGAAUUCCUGGUGUAGCAGUGAAAUGCGUAGAGAUCAGGAGGAACACCGAUGGCGAGGGCAGCCCCCUGGGCCUGUACUGACGCUCAUGCACGAAAGCGUGGGGAGCAAACAGGAUUAGAUACCCUGGUAGUCCACGCCCUAAACGAUGGGUACUAGCCGUUUGGUGCGCGAUAGCGCUGAGUGGCGAAGCUAACGCGUGAAGUCCCCCGCCUGGGGAGUACGGCCGCAAGGUUGAAACUUAAAGGAAUUGGCGGG